UGCAUUUUGCAGCAGGAAUUUGCUGGUCCUGAUUAUGAACUCAUCUGUGGUCUUACUAGAUGAUGCAGGUAAUACAGGGACAAGUAGCAUCCCACUGAAGAUCACCUAAUCCUCCAUUUCUUUAAGCAUCUUCCUGAGUCUGGUGUAGUCUUCCUUCAUGCAUUCCAUCAAGAAUACAGCUGUAUCACCCCCAAAGAUAGUGGAGGAGAAGGCAUGUACCACCAAGGCUGGGAGGAUUGCAGCCUCUGCUCCUAGGAGUAAAUGUUGCAGUGAUUGGUGACUCUCUUCCAGGAGGGGGAUGGAGGCACCUGUCUGUUGGCGAGACAUGGCAUUCUGGGAGUGUUGGGAGAAAUAUAUAUCCAAAUAUAUUGUGAUUCAAUGUUAUAGGUCAUUGAGGCCUGGUAUGAAUGACACAUGCUUGACAUGAAUGUGUGCGUUGCAAGUUAGCAACUGAAACAAGGUCAAGGACUAUUAGAACUCUGUGCAAGAACAAUCUUACGUUCCGAGAAAAGUACAGAAAAUCAUCAGAAAAGGAAAUAACACCAGCUGGACUGAUAUAAAAUUGUAUAAGAAUUGGAGGAAAUUGCAUGCUUUGGAUCAUAGUGACCCACCCAAGACUGUCUCUUUGGAAUUGUGUGGGUAGAAGGCCUAGUAAACAAAGGCAAAGAACAGAUGAUGCAACAGAAUGAACUAUAAAU